AGCGAACGCUGGCGGCAUGCUUAACACAUGCAAGUCGCGCGGGGGGCUUUCGGGCUCUUAGCGGCGGACGGGUGAGGAGCGCGUAGGAACGUGUCCUGUGGUGGGGGACAACCCUGGGAAACUGGGGCUAAUACCGCAUGUGGCCUGAGGGUCAAAGCCGAGAGGCGCCAUGGGAGCGGCCUGCGUCCGAUUAGGUAGUUGGUGGGGUAAGGGCCUACCAAGCCUGCGAUCGGUAGCUGGUCUGAGAGGACGAUCAGCCACACUGGGACUGAGACAC
rnacentral:rRNA from 1 species